rnacentral:misc_RNA from 1 species
UAUUAAAAUCAUUCAAUAGCAUUAAAAUCUAGCUAACAACAAAGUUAACGAUAACAAGGUAAUCGUUGACAAAUAUAUACAGUUAAUUAUGCCAAUCGACCUUCAGUAACAACAAAACAACCUGCUACAAACAUUCAAUUAUGAAUCUAACAAACAUAUUUAAACCUUAACAAUCAAAAAGUUAAAAACAAUUAAAGUACUAUAAUAAAUCGUGAAAAUAUUUCAUUUGCGUAAAUUUAUGUCACAAUAACAUAUCACUUUGUGAGUACCCGUGUAC